rnacentral:rRNA from 1 species
UACGGGUGGCGCAAGUGUUAUUCCUCUUGACUCGGCGUAAAGGGUGCGUAGACGGAUAAUUACCUUUUGAAGUGAAAUAAAUACUUUUUUAACUUUUUAUCUUGAGUGAUAUGGGCGAUGGUGGAACUUCUUGCAUUAGCGUUAAAAUGCGUUUAAACGAGAGAGAACACCAAAGGCAAAGGCAACUAUCGACUAAUCACUGACGUUGAGGCACGAAGGCAUGGGUAUCGAAUGGG